rnacentral:rRNA from 1 species
UACGUAGGGGCCUAGCGUUGUCCGGAAUCACUGGGCGUAAAGGGUGCGUAGGCGGGUCUUUAAGUCAGGGGUGAAAUCCUGGAGCUCAACUCCAGAACUGCCUUUGAUACUGAAGAUCUUGAGUUCGGGAGAGGUGAGUGGAACUGCGAGUGUAGAGGUGAAAUUCGUAGAUAUUCGCAAGAACACCAGUGGCGAAGGCGGCUCACUGGCCCGAUACUGACGCUGAGGCACGAAAGCGUGGGGAGCAAACAGG